rnacentral:rRNA from 1 species
AUUGAACGCUGGCGGCAGGCCUAACACAUGCAAGUCGAACGAGUGGCGGACGGGUGAGUAAUGUUUGGGAAACUGCCUGAUGGAGGGGGAUAACUACUGGAAACGGUAGCUAAUACCGCAUACCAUCGGAUGUGCCCAGAUGGGAUUAGCUAGUGGGUGGGGUAAAGGCUCACCUAGGCGACGAUCCCUAGCUGGUCUGAGAGGAUGACCAGCCACACUGGAACGGAGACACGGCCCAGACUCCUACGGGAGGCAGCAGUGGGGAAUAUUGCGCAAGGGGGGCAAGCCUGAUGCAGCCAUGCCGCGUGUAUGAAGAAGGCCUUCGGGUUGUAAAGUACUUUCAGCGGGGAGGCGUUACCCGCAGAAGAAGCACCGGCUAACUCCGUGCCAGCAGCCGCGGUAAUAC